GCGUCAGUUAGGGAGGGACGUUAUUGUACACAAAAGCGUUCGGUAGAAAAUAAAAUCCCAUGAAAUUUCCAUAGUUGCUCGACAGAGUGUCCGCGGGAACGCUGUUCGUCCUCGUUCCGUUUAAACGGGCCAAAGAAAUGAUUGUACAGUUGACUUUCAAGGUCGCGAGAUCUCCUCGCGCUCAUGUUUCCGGGUGAUCGUAGCUCGUUACCACGAUUUCUGCAACGCUUCGACGCAGGCUCGACGAUUCAGCGUCGCGACCUCUCUGCUCCUGUGUCGAACUUGCUGAGAAAUUGGUACUGGAAACAGACGAAAGGCUGCGAUUAGAAUUCUUCGGGGAAACGAAUCGGAUCGAACUACCUGCUGCGACUCGGACCACUGCGAUCGACCGAACCCGUGCACGUUCGCUGCUUCUCCUUCGCAGCCGCCUUCGAUUUGUAAUUGUCAAGACGACCUACCUUUCCCAUCUCCUUGAACGCCGGAGCGUGUUUGUCGGCUAUUUCGACGGAACGCUAUGGAACCAUUCGAUGGGUCGAUUCGAAGAUCGAACGACAGUGGAACACGUGCAUGUGGCUAAAUUAACCGCGAAGCGGAAGUGCGGGUCUCGGCAAGUCAAUGAGAACACAGGUUAGACUAGAGCUGGAUCAGGGAGGAGAAAGAGAAAGAGAGAGAGAGAGAGAGAGAGAGAGAGAGAGAAGCAAAGAAACUGGGAAAAGUACGAAAGCUCUCGAGCAGGUGUAUGCGCUAACGAGAUGCGUGCAACUCGCUAUUGGAACGACACAGUGCAACGAAAGUCGCUCGCUCGACGGAUCAUCUAAUUGCAAGAGCGUUACUAGCGCGUUACAGUUCGAGAUAUCGACGGGAAAUAUUGGCCUGUUUCACGGUUCACAGUCGAGAGCUGCGAAGGGGCGGAGAAGAAGAAAGACUGCUUUGGACGACCAAUAUUUGCCGCCGUUGUCAUGCCGCACAGUGGUCGAUAUUCAUGUAAAGUGGGACAAAACGAAAAAACAAAUUGUUUUAUAAAUUCAAGAUUAUUGGAUAAUUUGAUCCGUUAGUAUCUGACACGUGUCCGAUUAUAAGCGGGAAAAAUGUGUAAACAAAUUGAAUUUAUUCUCAGAAGUAAUUUUUCUCUCCCACCGAAAUAGCUUAUUAACUUAUUGAAAAUCCUGAAAAUAUGACUUUAAAAUAUUGCAAUAAUAAUCAUAGUCUAUAACAUAUGUUUCGGUGUAACAAGUUCGUUGGAAUGCGUUCGAAUCAAUUGUUUCUUGUUGUAACUACGGUAUAAGAUUGAAAAUCGUAAACACAAGUGCCUGUUAACCUGCGGGAUGGCCAAUUUUCAUUUAUUUCAUAUAUUAUCAAUUUUAUAAAUUUUAUUGCACUGCC